UUUGGAGUGGUUUUUCAAAAUCCCAUCUUGAACUGAUUAGCUAUUCCUCCGACUUAUCUAUAGUCUAAAUAUAGACUAAAAUUUGAUAUGGAGAUAUUUUUCUUUAUUCUGUCUUUGGACAGAACGACAGACAGUUGCUGCAGAUGUGGGGGAAAUGUUCGACGUCGAUGGCUGUGAUUGUGAAGGUGUCUGGACACGAAGGGGUGCAUCCUUUAACACCAUGCAUACUGGCUAACCAUGACCUUGUACCAUGACCCCUUUAACACCAUGCAUACUGACUGUAUCGUUCAAAAAGUAAAUGGUAAUGCAGCCGAAUGCUAACAGUAACAUUUCACAAUAGCUCGUGUGGAAUGAGAAAUAAUGAGACGAGAGAAAGAAAAUGAACAGAUAAGAAAAAUCUACGAAAAACGUGCGUGAUAGUAAAAAAUUGAGCAGUGACUUACAGGAUGGUCAAAUAAAGAACAUUCUUGUGUCUCAUUUUGGGGAAAAUCGAUCAGCACAUGAAAAAAUAUCGUCGUUGGAGGUUUUCAAGAUGGCGGCUAUUCUUCAAGAUCGUUAACUAAACGAAAAAGAAUGGACAAAGCACUUCUAACAAUAUUAAACCUUACCCUAAAUCUCUCUCAUUGAUAAUGGUUCUUCAGUAAUUCACAAAAAUAGAGAAAGGGAAACAACUAAUAUAGAAUUAUAGGUGUAUCAUAGUGCUUGGAAAAACUGUUUAUAAAUAGACAAAACAGCAUAUGGCGGCAAUUAAACACCGAGAGAAGCUGAAUAAAUAGAACCACUCUACUGCAUGUAUAGUC